CAGGAUCUGAACCGGUGAAACCCUGGGCUGCUGAAGCAGAGCUCGUGAACUUAACCACUCAGCCAUGGGGCCAGCCCCUGGAUGAAGUUUUAAAGUAGAGCUGAUAGGUUGCUGAGGAUAGGAUGAGGGGGUGUUGAGAUAGAGAGAGGAGUCAAGGACGACUGCCGGGUUGUGGCCUGGGCAACUGGAAAGAUGGUGUUGUGUUAUUAACCGAGGUAGAGAAGAUGAGGGAGGAGAAGGUUUCAUUUUUUUGGAAGGGAGGAGUCGAGUUUGAUUUGGACAUGGUUAGUUUGAGAUGACUUUUAAACAUCCAAGUGGGGAUUUUGAGUAGGGGAGAGGUUGAACCUGGAGAUAUCAUUUUGGGACGCUCAGUGUAGAAAUGCUUGAAAGCCAUGAGACUGGACAAGAUCUUGUGUGAAUGAGUGCCAAUAGAGAAGGUCUGAGGACUGAUGCCUGAGGCCCAAUGCUGUAGAGUUGGGGAGAUGAGAUGGAACAUACGUAAGGAACGGUGAGCUAGGAAGAAAACUAGACCCUGGAAGCCAAGUACAGCAAGAAUCUCAAAGAAGAGGCAUGACCAUCUUUGUUAAACAUUGCUAAUAGUAUAAAUAAAAGAAAGAUUGAUCAUUGGAUUCGGCAAUGUAGAGGUCUUUGGUGACCUAGCCUGAUUAGGGGCCUGGGGUUGAAGCCUUGUGGUUGCAGCUGUGUGACAUAGCAAACUAGUGGCACAAGGCACAGAAAAAGAAAUCCACAUGACUUCUAAACAUAUGAAAAGAUGUUUGCCCUCACUGAUAAAGGAUGAAAUGCAAACUAAAAUGACACUAAGAUACUUUUACACCUAUCAGAUUAGUCAAAAGACAAAAAAUUUAAUACUACACUGUGUUGCUUGGGGCAUGAGGGAAACAGGCACUUUCCAACUUUGCCGAUGGGAAUGCAAAUUGGUACAAACUCUGUGGAAGAGUGUAUCAGAGUUAAAUUCAGGGAAUCAGAAACCAUCUUAGGUAUUUCAAGCAGAAAGGGAUUUAAUAUGGGGACUUAGGUGAUGGUAAAAACCACUGGCAGGACGGGAAGAGUUAAAGUUAGGAUUAUAGGGUUAUAUGGCUAUUUUUUUUUCUUUUUUGAUCACACUGCCCCAAGCUUUGAUCAAGAGGUCUGGAAAGCUGUUGCUGCUGCCCAGAGACUAGGAAAUCACAGCUGAAGUCACAGCUGCCUUGCAGCUGGGAAGUCAGUGAUUAGCUGGCUACUGCAAAAACUCACAGUGGCCAAAGUCUGGGUGUCAGCUGCCAUCAGAAUCAGACUAAGAAUGGCUUCUACCCACUUCAGUCUUUUGCAUCCCAUAUUGGCAGAAACUAACUGUAUUCAUAUCCCAGUUGGGAAGGAAGCCUGGGAAAUGUAGCUCCCAAGCUUCUAGCCCCCAUGAUCCAUAUCAUCUCCCUAUGGGAGAGUAUAGAAGGGGACUAAUGGCAGUGCUGAGUGCCAGUAUAUAGCACCUAAUUCUGUCCAGCCCUUGGGCUUCUCAGCAUCCAUACAUACCCCUUGUCCAUAUUUAAAUUUCCAGCAGCUACAAUAAGAACAACAACAUGCUUCCAUCUAAAAAAGCAUGGUUACAUAAAAUAAAGCAGAUGAGAAGGUAGCCACUCUCUCCCUGAAAGGGAGGGACCCAAAGUCUCAUUGGUCAUUGCGUCCAUCUCUGGCUGAUGUUCUUUUCCCUUCUGGUUCAGUCAUAAUUCCAUUUAAUAUUCUGAAGACUAAAUUAUAAGAUUAGCUGCCACUAACACUCUUUGUAUAAAAUAAUACAAGAAAGAUAGAGGAAUAAAAUACCUAACAAAGCAAGGAAGAAUAUAUGCAUAUAUACUACAUUUUUGCAACCAGCCUUUGUUGGCUAUUAAACUUCCUUAUUCUGCAUUAUCCCUCAUUCCUUGCCCUCCACCGGCAUUCAGCUGUUCAGGGUUCUCUCUCUGGUGGAAUGACCCAAUCCUUCCUUCCUGAAGGAUGUGCUCUUGGUGGUCCUGCCUGUGUUGGGUUACUGUUGUCUUCCAUUAACACUUACUAAUGGACAUAGAGGCACUAGUAGGCAUCUGAAUGAACCCUCUGGGUUCCAGACAUAUUCCUCUCAGGUCACCACGGACUAGCAUCUGUCUUAUUCUCCCUUGACAAUCAAGAACAGUCAGAACUGAAUUCUGCCAAGAACUUUAACGAGGUUGAAGAGGAUCUCGGGCUCCAGAUGAGAAUGUAGGCUGCCGACACCUUGACUUUCGCCUCGUGAUAUCCUGACCAGAGAACCUAGCAACGCCAUGCCAGACUUCAGGCCUACAGAACGGUUUGAGAUUGGAAUUGAAAUUAUAUUGAAACAAACAAACAAACACGAGGAGAAAGCUGUUAGUGGACCCACAUAGCUGCCCUAUACAGGCUGGAGACCCAAAGUGGGUGAUGGGCUGAAGAAUAUGGAGCCUAAUGGCCACUGCAGAAACUCAUGUCUGCUGGAAAUGCCGCCUCAGCAACUGUCACUGGCAGAGGAAGAAGGGCUUCUCCCUCCCUUCCACCUUCUAAAUCACGUGUGUGUGAUUGACCAGCCGAAUCCCGAACCCUGCUGGCCAGGGCAUUUGAUCAUGCAGGUAAUGGAGCUUAAGCUUCAGAGCCCCUCACGUGCACACCCAUCUUCCAAGGCCCUGGGAGGGCCCCAGCAAUGUGUCCACGUGGUCAAAGUAAGACAUUUCAACUACAGAUAGUUAAAACUACCCGUCUAUUUCUACUCUGAUUUUCCUUGUGUCACACUUUCCCUUGUAUUAGAUGGUAUUGUAAUGGCCAUGGGAAUUUUUGGGAUCCAGCUUAGAAGUUGAGCUGGGGAUGCAUUUAGUUGGUGUCUAGAGGGAUAUGCUUCAUGUGGCUUGCAGUCCUUUGCUAGUUGUCCUGUUGUAGGAAUGGCUUCCGUGAAUACCCCUCCUGCUCACUGGGCCAACUCCCCCCGCUUUAUGAGACCAAGGGGCAGGGACAGAGGUCAUAUCACGAUGUGAACAUAUCAUGAUGUGAACGUGUCCUGUGCCCAGUGUCAGACGUACGUUGGUAGUGGAAUAGAAGAAAGGUUAAAAUGCACAGACCCAGAAGCUAGUCUGUGUAAUAUUCUUCCAUUUAUUUUUGAGAUGUAUAAAAUUGUAAGUAGAGGAUUUGGUACUCACUGAUGCCUAGUAAAAUGGAAGCUCUCUCCUAUCAGGAACAUGCUCAAUAAUGUAGCUUAUACACUUAUAAACACAGCAAAUAUUUUUUUGAUGGGCAUUAUGAAUCAUAGAGUUUUAUCAGAAUUCUCAUAUUUGUAGGGCAAACCUGUAGUAGUACUACAAAUAGCAUGUCUCAUAUGUUUUAUGCAUAUCAACUAUCAACAAUAAAAAUAAAUUUUUACAAGCCAUGCUGAAGGAAAAAUUCAAUUAUCUUUUUAUUUGUUCUCCAAAAGAUAUCACAAAAUUUUGUCCUAUGGAAAAGUGAUCAGAGAUCAUACAGCCAAAAAAAGGUAGGGAAAACAACCUAUUAUAAAGAUGUGUUGGCUGUUGAAUAGUUCUAAUAUUAUUUUCCCGGAUGUUGUGAUGUUUAUACUAUUUCAGCCUUUAAAAAUUUACAUUAUAUUAUGAUUUUUUUCUUAUUCUAAAUAGGUAUUUGUAAUUUUGUAUUCUUUUACUGAAAGAAGGUCUUCACAAUUGUAUAAGCUUUCGACAGAGGAUGGCAGAGCAGAAAGAAUCUUGAUCCCUCAUGACACUUGGAAGCCCAGGGCAGCUCUGGAUGGCCCACCUCCAGACUCCUUUUAUUUGAGGGAGAAAUAAAUCUCUAUCUUGUUUAAGUGACUGUUAUUUUGGCUUUUCUGUUAUGAGCAGCCAAACAGAAUCUUAACUCAUAUGCCCUUUGACUCAGCAGUUCCACUUCCAGGAAUUUGUCCUAGAGAUAUACCAGCACAUACACAAAAUGAUGUAUGGUUAGGGUCACUCAUUGCAGCAAAAGAUGGGAAACAAUCUAUAUGAUUAUCAGUGGAGACUGGUUAAGUAAAUUACGUACAUCCACACAGGGGACUAGUAAGCAUUGUACGUUAGGAGGAAGCUUGCCAUAUUGAUAUGGAGUUAUCUCUAAGGUAUAUUGUUAAGAGAAAAAAAUAAGUGCAGAACAGUGUGAAUACUGUGUUAUUAUUUGUGUAAAUGAUCUAUCUAUCUAUUAUCUAUCUAUCUAUCUAUCUAUCUAUCUAUCUGUCUACAUGCCAUUGGUUGCCUCUGGGGGCAACUAAGUGGCCGAGGACAGGAGUGGGAGGGAAACCUUUCACUGUGUCCCUUUCGAAUAAUCAUGUGAACUUUUAAUCUGUUUUAAAAUAUAUAAAAUUAAAGUGAAAAUUAGAAAACAUUCUUACAUUUAAUACUUGUAUAACAAAACGUAUUAUUUGUUUUUUUUUUUUAAACUCCUUUCAGAUUAAAAUAAAACCUCUUAAGUCACCCGUAA